UACGGGGGGGGCAAGCGUUGUUCGGAAUUACUGGGCGUAAAGGGCUCGUAGGUGGCCAACUAAGUCGGACGUGGAAUCCCUCAGCUUAACUGGGGAACUGCGUCCGAUACUGGAUGGCUUGAGUUUGGGAGAGGGAUGCGGAAUUCCAGGUGUAGCGGUGAAAUGCGUAGAUAUCUGGAGGAACACCGGUGGCGAAGGCGGCAUCCUGGACCAACACUGACACUGAGGAGCGAAAGCCAGGGGAGCAAACGGG
rnacentral:rRNA from 1 species